rnacentral:rRNA from 1 species
GCUAAAAAUCUAGCUCACCCACCACUGAAUACACCCCUCAUACCUCUACCAUUUCCCUAAAUCAUUUUCACAAUAUAGUAAAGGAGAUAAAAAAAUUUUUUGAAGCUACACCAAUAGUACCGCAAGGGAAAGAUGAAAUAGAAAUGAAAUAAACAAUUAAGCACAAAAAAGUAAAGAUUUAACCUUGUACCUUUUGUAUUAUGGCUUAACUAGUCCUGAUCAAGCAAAACGAAUUUAAGUUUGAUUUCCCGAAACUAGGCGAGCUACUCCAAGGCAACUUUAAGAGCCAACCCAUCUCUGUUGCAAAAGAGUGGGAAGACCUUCGAGUAGAGGUGAUAGACCUACCGAGCCUAGAGAUAGCUGGUUACCCAAUAAAAGAAUUUUAGUUCAACCUAAAGCAAAUAACUAAUGAAUAAAAACACAGCUUUAGAGUUAUUCAAAUAAGGUACAGCUUAUUUGAAACAGGAUACAACCUUAACUAACGGGUUAUUAUUCUAGCAACGCACCUAAGUAGGCCUAAAAGCAGCCAUCUUCUAAAUAGCGUCAAAGCUUACCUGCUCAUGCACUUAAUCUCUAAAAAAAUUUUUAACCCUUCCUCAACACUGGGUGAUUUUAUAAUCAUAUAAAACCCCUUAUGUUAAGACUAGUAACAAGAAGUAAACCCUUCUCUUCAAUGCAAGUAUAAGACAGAAAGGAUAAUCCACUGUCAAUUAACACACAUGACCCCCAGUUAGCAACACUACAAGAAAACCCUUAUAUUAUUAGUGUUAACCUAACACAAGAGCAUUUCAAGAAAGAUUCAAAAUAAAGGAAGGAACUCAGCAAACAUCAACCCCGCCUGUUUACCAAAAACAUCGCCUCUUGUAUUCAAAUAAGAGGUCCAGCCUGCCCAGUGACCUAAUUCAACGGCCGCGGUAUCCUAACCGUGCGAAGGUAGCGUAAUCACUUGUUCUUUAAUUGAGGACUAGUAUGAAUGGCAUCACGAGAGUUGUACUGUCUCCCUUUUUUAAUCAGUGAAACUAAUCUCCCUGUGAAGAAGCAGGGAUUUUUAUAUAAGACGAGAAGACCCUAUGGAGCUUUAAACUAACCUUCACCUGCUGCCUCAGUUUAAUCUUCACAAAAAGCAAAGUAAGAUGCUGACACGUUUUCGAUUGGGGUGAUCACGGAGUAAAAAAUAACCUCCAUGAUAAAAGGGCCUAAACCCUGAGCAAUAAGCCACAACUUUAAGCACUAUAAAAUUAAUAUCUCUUGACCCAAUAAUUUGAUCAACGAACCAAGUUACCCUAGGGAUAACAGCGCAAUCCACUUCAAGAGCCCCUAUCGACAAGUGGGUUUACGACCUCGAUGUUGGAUCAGGGUGUCCUAGUGGUGCAGCCGCUACUUAUGGUUCGUUUGUUCAACGAUUAAAACCCU